CCUUCCCGGCAGGGCAGCUCCCGGCUAGAGGGGCUGUGCCCUCCGCGUCUGCGCGCGCUCCCGGGCUGCGGGUGGCACCCGCUCCCUCGCCCUCCCGCCCAGCCGGGGCGGCCCCGGGGUCACGUGGCAGGGAGGGCACCCGGCCCGCGGCCCCCCGGCCCGCCGUCCUCCGCUGUCCGCUCCCAUGGCUGCAGCCUUCGCGCUCCUCGCGGGGAUCCUGCUGCCCUGCUGGAGCGCGUCGGCCAAGUUUACCAAGGGGUCAGUAAAGGGGAAUGGGGUCGAGUGCUCCCACCACUCUGAGUGCUUCAGUGACUGCUGCCUCAUGAACUUGGAUGCUAAGGCUGCCUUCUGUGCCCCCAAGACCAGAAUAAACAAGGUGUGCUUGCCCCAGGUAUCCAAAAAGCCAACCCAAACCAGUCUGGAUGAUGAGGGAAUCAUCUGUGGUGAGAACUGGAAGUCCAGAGGCCAGUAGGCCUCAAGUCUGGUUGAAUCUAACAAUUCCAUGGCCCCCAGGCUGGAUUCCUUCCCAGUAGCCACAAAAGUCCCAAAUGCUGAUAAAGAUACCUGGUCUUGACCCACUGGUUCCAGUCUUGACCCACCCUCAUGGGUCAGGCUGGAACCUGGACUCUACCUCAGCCCAACUUCUGCCCUCAGGGCCACCCUUCCCUGGACCCACUCAGCACUCAUUUGACAUAACAACAGUGUAACUCAGAGAUCCUUGGUAUCACACAGAAAUC